rnacentral:tRNA from 1 species
ACUUUUUUAAUAUAUAAAGUAUAUUCGAUUUCCAAUCGAAAAGUUUAAUUUUUAAAAAAAGUA